rnacentral:pre_miRNA from 1 species
GGACGGACGGGUGAGAUAGACCAUCCACCUGGCGAAUUCGGAGCGUAAGUUGCCGCUAUCUUCCUCUCUCCGACUCUCGUUCAAAUCUUCAUCCCUGGCUGGGUCGGGCUCGAUUUUGGACGGAGGAGAAUGGUAGUCAAAGAUCGGUUGUCGCGACCGAACCUAGUAGUAGAAGAAGAGGGGGAGAGGAGAGAGGCAGCUUAGUGGAGUGGGGGCGAGUGGGCGAGGCGCACUGGGUUAAUGAGGGGGUGAAGGCGUGGGAUCGGCUGUCAAUUUCUGGAUUUCAGUUCGAAAUGGAAAGAGCCGAUAAUGCAAAGGGAAGACGUGGGGACUGCUGUCAAUUUCUGGAUUUCUUGCUUGAUUCUCCGGCAUGUUUUUCGGCAUCAUGUCGAUUCCAGAACACGCAAAAUUAGCGAGGGAACCAAAUUGCACGACCCAGACAACUUCGCACAAAAUAGGGCAUUACCCCAGUUCGCGCUUCGCCUGCCUCACCCAAUCACCCCACUCCACUCAGCUGGCUAUCUCCAUUUCGAACUGAAAUCCAGAAAUUGGCAGCCGUUCCCCUGCCUUCGCCUCGCAUUAACCCGGUUCGUAAAUCGCCUGCCUCGCCCACUUGCCCCACUCCACUAAGCUGCCUCUCUUUCCUCUCCCCCUGUUCUUCUGCUACCAGAAAAGCUCGGUCCUUUCACCGUCGGCUACUAUUCUCCUCCGUUCAAGCCCAAGACCGAGCUCAAGCCAGGAUGAGGAUUGGACGAGAGAUAGCAGCAACUUACCCUCCGAACUCGCCGGGUGGAUGGUCUACCUCACUUGGGUGGGGUUG